CAGUAGCCGCGGUAAUACGUAGGGUGCGAGCGUUAAUCGGAAUUACUGGGCGUAAAGCGUGCGCAGGCGGUUAUACAAGACAGAUGUGAAAUCCCCGGGCUCAACCUGGGACCUGCAUUUGUGACUGUAUAGCUAGAGUACGGUAGAGGGGGAUGGAAUUCUGCGUGUAGCAGUGAAAUGCGUAGAUAUGCGGAGGAACACCGAUGGCGAAGGCAAUCCCCUGGACCUGUACUGACGCUCAUGCACGAAAGCGUGGGGAGCAAACAGGAUUAGAUUACCCGUGUAGUCCCUGUCUCUUAUA
rnacentral:rRNA from 1 species